AUUCAAUAUUUACUAUGUGCCAGGAUCUGUUCUAAGAGUUUCAUAUGUUUUAACUCAUCUAAUUUUAACAAUCUUAUGAGGUAUGCACUUUAUUUUCCUUGUUUUCAAAUGUUGAGACUAAGGUACAGAGAGGUCAAGUAACUUGCCCAAAGUCACACAACUAUCAAGGAGCAGAGCUGAGGUUUGAUGUCACAGAGGGGUCAAGAUACAGUCAUAUUUAUUAAACAGGUAAGGUUGGCCGGGCACGGUGGCUUAUACUGGUAAUCCCAGCACUGAUCACCUGAGGUCAGGAGUUUGAGAUCAGCCUGGCCAACAUGCCUACUUCAUGCUUUGAACAGAAGAGUUUUAUCAGUUUUAAAUGUUUCUUCAUUUCUAUACCUUCUUUUAUCUGAGGAGCUUAAGCCAUUUUGUAGAGGCAUUAAGUAUUGCCUCAGUCUUAAUAUGUGAGACAAGGUGUGAGGAAUAUAGAGAUUCAUAAAAUAAUCCCCAUCUUCAAGGAACUCACAGUCAGGAAGAACAGAGCCUGCAACACAAAUAAUUGCAAUAUAGUAGAAGUGCCAAUAGGAGCUCUAUGAAGGGCGUGAAACAGGAAAGGCUACAUAGAGGAGAUGGCAGGUGAGGAAUAAGGAGUUACUAUUCUACUGGGGCAUCAUUUCAGUGUAUGCGUGGGCAUACCUGUGGCAUUAUUGCCCAGCCCCAAUCUGUCUCCCCACAACCUGUGGGAACUUUGAAGGCUAACCAGUGUGUUUUAUUUUGAUGUUUGGUAGGCUGCUUUGAUGAUGUAGUUUAUGACAGAAAUGUAAGCAACAGUUUCUAAUGGACAUCUAUUGCCUUUUCCUUAUCCAGCCUCUCUUUAUCCCAGACUCCUCCCCUGCAAUCUCCCUCUUAGAGACCGCCUCUCUGCCCUCUCAACCCAGAGCUAGGCAUGUGACUAAAGCUUGGCUAAUCAAAGCAUCCAGUGCCUUUGACCACAGUAAGAGCUGGAAGACUGAGCACAUGGCCUCUUCAGAGCCACAGAGAUGGAAGAGAAUUUUUUGCUGAAACUUCUGGGAAAGAAAUUAACUUUCCUGCUGGACUUUAUUCAUGGGAAUAUGCUUCAGCCAUAUUCCAAGGGAGAUCAGGACAAACAUGGUGGGCAAUAAUGCUAAGAGAGAUUGGUCUUUCCUGGUGUCAUUAAUUUGGCCCCAGAUCAAGCUGUGCCAGCAGCUAGGACAAUCCUUGGCUUUUUCUACUAUAUAAGCUGAUGAAGCCCCUUUUUGCUUAGGCCAGUUUGGAUUGGCUUUUGAGUUUUUACUCACCCGUGGUUAAUAGAUCUAGAAAUGUUUAUGCUGAAGGGGAAAACAGCCAAGAGAAACACUAAUGCAUUCCAAAUAUUUCAAGGAUAUUAGGUAGAAAAAAUAUUAGAAUAUUCUGUGUGUCCCAAUUGGUAGAACCAGAAUUAGUGGGUAGAAGUUUCAGGUGGUCAGAUUUCAGGUCAAAGUAAGAAACAGCUUUUUAACUCUUAGGGUUCUUUCCCAACGAUUCAAUGUGAAGAAAUGAACACUUUUCUAAGUUUCUUCUAAAACAAGGAGAGUGGAAGGAACAUAGCAGCUGCCCCCAUGUUAAAAGCACCUCGAAAUGAUCCAAGGCAAUUUAAAAAAAGUUGUCUGAUUACCUUUACUAAUGCAUUGAGAUUUAAAUACCAGGGCUUUCAUUUAGCUUUCCGUUCCUCUGUGUCGAAGAGGAUGUGGUUACUUACUUACUCUUAUUUCUCUAGACACUCUGUGGAUUGUGACCUGUUGGUGGGCCAUGAAAUCAAUUUGGGGGUUUGAGAGCAUCAUUCUUUUAAUAAAACAGAAGAGAAUCAUCUGCAAUAAGGAACCCAUGGAUGAAUACCAUCUGGUCCUGGUGAUUUACUGCACAGAGUCCCUCAAGUUGCUCCAUACCUUUCUCCUGAGAGACUGAAGAAUCUCUGUCAAGGCCGUUCUCUGCUUUGCCAUAAAAUGUGUCCUUGGAACAAGAAUUUCCCCAUUGUCUUCUUCAAUA
rnacentral:lncRNA from 1 species